UACGGGGGGGGCAAGCGUUGUUCGGAAUUACUGGGCGUAAAGGGCUCGUAGGCGGCCAACUAAGUCAUACGUGAAAUCCCUCGGCUUAACCGGGGAACUGCGUCUGAUACUGGAUGGCUUGAGUUCGGGAGAGGGAUGCGGAAUUCCAGGUGUAGCGGUGAAAUGCGUAGAGAUGUGGAGGAACACCGAUGGCGAAGGCAGCCUCCUGGGCCAACACUGACGCUCAUGCACGAAAGCGUGGGGAGCAAACAGG
rnacentral:rRNA from 1 species